rnacentral:rRNA from 2 species
GGAUAUUGUACACACA